CGCGUAGGCGGUCCGACAAGUCAGGGGUGAAAUCCUGCAGCUUAACUGCAGAAGUGCCUUUGAUACUGUCGGUCUUGAGGGAGAUAGGGGUGUGCGGAACUCACAGUGGAGCGGUGAAAUGCGUUGAUAUUGUGAGGAACGCCGGAGGCGAAAGCGGCGCACUGGAUCUCUUCUGACGCUGAGGCGCGAAAGCUAGGGGAGCAAACG
rnacentral:rRNA from 1 species